GGAGGUGAUGGGUCCACCUGUGAGUGGAGUACAGAACGUGGGGGAACAGCUUCCCAGGAGUGUGGGGCUCAACCUCUCCAGGAGGCCCUGAAGGUGGCCUGAGAGCCCACUCUGGAAGUUCUGCCUCUCGGAGGGGCAGCGUGGAGCACAGUGGCUGCAGUGAGUCCCGCCUGGCUCUAAGCACCACUUUCCAAGCAUGCAGCUUCAGCAGUUUCUUGGCACGCUGGCUGAAGAUGUGUUGCCCACACGCUGAGGGAGGUCCUUACCCGUGGACGCCGAGCUCUGGGAGGCUGCGGUGGCGGCAGCUGAGUCUGCAGGUGGAGAGGUGCAGGGACUGUCUUGCCUCCACCUCCUUCAAUACCUACUUUUCUUCCCAGCAAGAGUCCCUUCCCUUACGCUCCCGAAUCCACCCUGGCCCUGACGCUGCGCCUGAGCACCACAUCCUGACCCCACUUGUUGGCAAGAUGUCUGCAUGUCCACAAGUGUAGCGUUCAUCUCAUCUCAACAAUCCAUCCUUCCAGAGCAGACGGGUGAUCCCUAUCACCUUCUGAACACUCUGCUUGCUACAGCUCCUAUUCAUCAUCUCGGUCACACCUGGGGUCCCUCUACCUGUUCCACACCUAGACCAGUGGUUUUCACCCCGGCCACACAUCAAUAUCACUUAGGAAGUCUAAAAAAAAAAAAAAAACUAUGCCAAUGCAAGCCAGUGACAGAACAAAAUUAAUUACCGGAUUUUAAAAUAGGCAAAGAACCUGAAGAUACAUUUGUAGCGAGAAGGUCUAAUAAGGAGAUGAAAAGUGCUCUGUAUCACUAGUCAUGAGAAAUGCAAAUUAAAACCACAAUGAGGCCAGGCGUGGCAGCUCACAGCUGUAAUCCCAGCACUUUGGGAGGUCAACGUAGGAGGAUCACCUGAGUUCAAGACCAGCCUGAGCAACCUAAUGAGACCCUCCCUCUUCAUAAAAAGUUGUCUUUUUUUUUUUUUUAAUUAGCCAGGCAUGGUGGUGCACGCCUGUGAUCCCAGCUACUGGGUAGACUGAGGUGGGAGGAUCGCUUGAGCCCAGGAGGUUGAAGCUGCAGUGAGCUAUGAUCGUGCCACUGCACUCCAGCCUGGGUAACAGAGCGAGAUGCUGUCUCUAAAAGACAACAGCAACAAAACCCCACAAUGAGAUACUACUUAAACGGAGCAGGAUGGCUGCUACCAAAACACUAGACAGCGCCAAGUGCCGGGAAGGACGUGGGGAACCGGAACCCCAGUUACCCGGUGAGGGCGUGGGGAGCCGGAACCCCAGUUACCCGGUGAGGGCGUGGGGAGCCGGAACCCCAGUUACCCGGUGAGGGCGUGGGGAGCCAGAACCCCAGUUACCCGGUGAGGGCGUGGGGAACUGGAACUCUGCGCACUGCCGGUGCAAGUGUGAAACGACGCAGCUGCUAUGGAGACAGCACGGAGGUUCCUCAGAGAAUUAAACAUAGGUAUGACCCAGCACAGGAUCCAGCAGUCCCGCCUCUGGGUGCGCAUCCAAAAGAAAUGAACUCAGUAUGUGGAAAAGACAUCAGCACACGAUCAGCGCUGCACCAUUCACGAUCACCGCCGCCAGCAUUCACAACGGCCUACGGCGGACGCCCAAGAGUCCAUCCACAGGUGAAUGGACAAUAAAAACGUGGGGUAUACACACAACAGAACGUGAUUCCGCCACAAAAAGACAGACACGGGAUGAGUCCACUGAAAUGACGUAUCUAAAGUGGUCAAAAUCACAGACAGAGAAAGCAGAAUGGUGGUCACCAGAGCCUGGGGGAGGGGAGGUGGGGACACCUAGUUUAAUGGCCCAGAGGCUGAGUUUUGCAAGACGAAGAAUUUCUGGAGUUCCGCUGCACGACCAUGUGGAUGUGCUCAAUACUGCUGAACUGUACACUUAACAUGGCUAUGAUGGUCAGUUCCAUGCAUGCUUUUUUUACAAUUCAAAACUUUAGAAAAUUAUUUAAAACACAACAAUACCAAGCCUGGGUCCUGCCUCUCAGAGCUCCUAACCUUUUUGUUUUAUGCUUCUCGAUGAUCCUUUUGUUUUUUUGGCCUUCCUCACUCAUUCUCAUAUGAUUCUAAUAUAUAGCUGUGAGUAGGAACACCUACAAAUUAUAAACUAAAAUUUGAAACUGUCUCUGAUUAGGGGAUGUAUAUUUACUGUGCAUCCUUUUAUUCUCUUCAUACUAGGGUAUACAGUAAGCGCUUAGUAAUCACUAAACAUUCACAUUAUUACCAACUGAAUAAAAGAAUGAAUGAUUA
rnacentral:antisense_RNA from 1 species